rnacentral:rRNA from 1 species
AUUGAACGCUGGCGGCAGGCCUAACACAUGCAAGUCGAGCGAGCGGCGGACGGGUGAGUAAUGUCUGGGAAACUGCUGGUGGAGGGGGGUAACUACUGGAAACGGGAGCUAAUACCCCCUACCCUCCAAUGUUCCCAGAUGGGAUUAGCUAGGAGGUGGGGUAACGGCUCACCUAGGCGACGAUCCCUAGCUGGUCUGAGAGGAUGACCAGCCACACUGGAACUGAGACACGGUCCAGACUCCUACGGGAGGCAGCAGUGGGGAAUAUUGCACAAUGGGCGCAAGCCUGAUGCAGCCAUGCCGCGUGUGUGAAGAAGGCCUUCGGGUUGUAAAGCACUUUCAGCGGGGAGGCGUUACCCGCAGAAGAAGCACCGGCUAACUCCGUGCCAGCAGCCGCGGUAAUUC